GAUGAACGCUGGCGGCGUGCCUAAUACAUGCAAGUCGAGCGGACAGAUGAGGCGCUUGCUGCUCUCACGUUAGCCGAGGACGUGUGAAUAACACGUGGAUAACCUCCCUAUAAGACUGAUAUAACUUCGGGAAACCGGCGCUAAUACCGGAUAAUCUCUUGAACCGUAUGGUUCGAUAGUGAAAGACGGCUUUGCUGUCACUUCUCGAUGGAUCCGGGCCGCAUGAGAUAGUUGGUAAGGUAAUGGCUUACCAAGGCGACGAUGCGUAGCCGACGUGAUAGGGGGAUCGGCCACCUGGGAACUGAGACACGGUCCAGGCUCCUACGAGAGGCACCAGUAGGCAACCUGCCGCAAUGGGCGAAAGCCUGACGGAGCAACGCCGCGUGAGUGACGAAGGUCUUCGGAUCGUAAUACUCGGUUACGAGGGAAGAACAAAUGUGUAAGUAACUAUGCACGUCUUGACGGUAACUAAUCAGAAAGCCACGGCUAACUACGUG
rnacentral:rRNA from 1 species